GGGUCUAAUCUAAACCUUACCCAUUAAUAUGCUACGUUAUAGAGUUUAACUACUACAAUACUCCAAUGUUAAAAUCUUGUUUUUUUUUUGAGCCUCCAACGUUAUAUUUGUAGCCAUAUAAAUUUGAAAUGCCCAUCUAUUUGGUGCCCGAAUAAGAAAUGAGUCUCGUGUUAUUUUUUUUUCUAUAAUGAUAAAUUUAAAACUUUAAUGGAGCCCUCUUCUUUUCUUUUUUGUUCUUUGGUAUGGUGCUUAUCAUUUGCUUUAAGCCACCAAAUAGAAAAAACUAUUCCAAAGAAAAAAGAUGCUGUUGAAGAUAUUUUAAACAUGUUAGUAAAAGCUGAUAUAUAUAUAUGUAUAACCUAGAAUGUACAGAACAUACAUA
rnacentral:lncRNA from 1 species